rnacentral:misc_RNA from 1 species
GAUGAAGAACGUAGCGAAAUGCGAUAAGUAAUGUGAAUUGCAGAAUUCAGUGAAUCAUCGAAUCUUUGAACGCACAUUGCGCCCCUUGGUAUUCUGGCGGGCAUGCCUGUUCGAGCGUCAUUUCAACCCUCGACCUCCCUUUGGGGAAGUCGGCGUUGGGGACCGGCAGCACACCGCCGGCCCUGAAAUGGAGUGGCGGCCCGUCCGCGGCGACCUCUGCGUAGUAAUCCAACUCGCACCGGAACCCCGACGCGGCCACGCCGUAAAACACCCAACUUCUGAACGUUGACCUCGAAUCAGGUAGGACUACCCGCUGAACUUAAGCAUAUCAAUAAGCGGAGGA